AUUGAACGCUGGCGGCAGGCUUAACACAUGCAAGUCGAGCGGGGUGAUGGUGCUUGCACUAUCACUUAGCGGCGGACGGGUGAGUAAUGCUUAGGAAUCUGCCUAUUAGUGGGGGACAACACCUCGAAAGGGAUGCUAAUACCGCAUACGUCCUACGGGAGAAAGCAGGGGAUCACUUGUGACCUUGCGCUAAUAGAUGAGCCUAAGUCGGAUUAGCUAGUUGGUGGGGUAAAGGCCUACCAAGGCGACGAUCUGUAGCGGGUCUGAGAGGAUGAUCCGCCACACCGGGACUGAGACACGGCCCAGACUCCUACGGGAGGCAGCAGUGGGGAAUAUUGGACAAUGGGGGGAACCCUGAUCCAGCCAUGCCGCGUGUGUGAAGAAGGCCUUAUGGUUGUAAAGCACUUUAAGCGAGGAGGAGGCUCUUUUGGUUAAUACCCAAGAUGAGUGGACGUUACUCGCAGAAUAGGCACCGGCUAACUCUGUGCCAGCCGCCGCGGAA
rnacentral:rRNA from 1 species